GCUUGAAAAAUCAAAUUUAUUUUGUAAAAACUCGCCUUAAUAACAGGUCCAUAAGCGCAAUUCCCGGCUAUACACACGUAAAAACACACAAGUUGCAACAAACCUGCGGCAGAAUUGUAGCAAUGUUGUUCCAACAACUUCUCAACAGGAUGUGUUCGCACUGCUUGUUCCCAGCUUGUUGACAAGUUGUCAACAGCUUGCUGACAACUUGCUACAAGGUUGUCGAGCUCAACAGACUUGUUACAAAUUGUUCCGACAACUUGUUAUCGUCCUGCAAUUCAACAAUUUGUCAACAAGUUGUGAGUCACAACCUUGUUGCAACUUGAUGAAAUAACAUGAUUGUUACAACUUGUUGACAAGCUUGCUACAGGCCUGUUGCAAACACAUCUUGUUAACAAGUUGUGACAUUUUUACGAUUUUUACAUGUACACACGUAAAAACGGACAAGUUGUAACAAGUCUGCAAACAAGUUGUUACACGUCUGUUCCCAAGCUGUCAACAAGUUG